rnacentral:rRNA from 1 species
GAUGAACGCUAGCGACAGGCCUAACACAUGCAAGUCGAGGGGCAGCAUAGAAGUAGCAAUACUUCUGAUGGCGACCGGCGCACGGGUGAGUAACACGUAUGCAAUCUACCUACAACACGGGGAUAGCCCGUCGAAAGACGGAUUAAUACCCGAUAAUACAGGGGUCCCGCAUGGGAAUAUUUGUUAAAGAUUUAUCGGUUGUAGAUGAGCAUGCGCUCCAUUAGGUAGUUGGUGAGGUAACGGCCCACCAAGCCAUCGAUGGAUAGGGGAACUGAGAGGUUUAUCCCCCACACUGGUACUGAGACACGGACCAGACUCCUACGGGAGGCAGCAGUGAGGAAUAUUGGUCAAUGGACGCAAGUCUGAACCAGCCAAGUCGCGUGAAGGAUGACUGCCCUACGGGUUGUAAACUUCUUUUGUACUAGAGUAAAACGGGGUAUGUAUACCCUCUUGCAAGUAUAGUACGAAUAAGCAUCGGCUAACUCCGUGCCAGCAGCCGCAGUAAAAC